rnacentral:rRNA from 1 species
CAAUAAGCGGAGGAAAAGAAACCAACAGGGAUUGCCCCAGUAACGGCGAGUGAAGCGGCAACAGCUCAAAUUUGAAAUCUGGUCCCCAGGGCCCGAGUUGUAAUUUGCAGAGGAUGCUUUUGGCGAGGCGCCUUCCGAGUUCCCUGGAACGGGACGCCAUAGAGGGUGAGAGCCCCGUCUGGUUGGAUGCCGAGCCUCUGUAAAGCUCCUUCGACGAGUCGAGUAGUUUGGGAAUGCUGCUCUAAAUGGGAGGUAUAUGUCUUCUAAAGCUAAAUACCGGCCAGAGACCGAUAGCGCACAAGUAGAGUGAUCGAAAGAUGAAAAGCACUUUGAAAAGAGGGUUAAAUAGUACGUGAAAUUGUUGAAAGGGAAGCGCUUAUGACCAGACUUGGGCCCGGUGAAUCAUCCAGCGUUCUCGCUGGUGCACUUUGCCGGGCUCAGGCCAGCAUCAGUUUGCCCCGGGGGAUAAAGGCUUUGGGAAUGUGGCUCCCUCGGGAGUGUUAUAGCCCAUUGCACAAUACCCUGGGGCGGACUGAGGUUCGCGCAUCUUGCAAGGAUGCUGGCGUAAUGGU